rnacentral:misc_RNA from 1 species
GAAAUGCGAUAAGUAGUGUGAAUUGCAGAAUUCAGUGAAUCAUCGAAUCUUUGAACGCACAUUGCGCCCUUUGGUAUUCCUUAGGGCAUGCCUGUUCGAGCGUCAUCUAAACCUUCAAGCCCUGCUUGGUGUUGGGUGCCUGUCCCGCCUCCGCGCGCGGACUCACCUCAAAUCCAUUGGCGGCCCCCGCGUCGGCCACGAGCGCAGCAGAAACGCGAACUCGUGAGCCCGUCCGGGCGGCUCCCAGAAGCUACACCCACCCAGUUUAACCUCGGAUCAGGUAGGGAUACCCGCUGAACUUAAGC